rnacentral:rRNA from 1 species
GACGGAGGGUGCUAGCGUUGUUCGGAAUUACUGGGCGUAAAGGGCGCGUAGGCGGCCUGCUAAGUCGGUUGUGAAAGCCCGGGGCUCAACCCCGGAACGGCAGCCGAGACUGGCGGGCUCGAGACCGGGAGAGGAGGGUGGAAUACCCAGUGUAGAGGUGAAAUUCGUAGAUAUUGGGUGGAACACCGGUGGCGAAAGCGGCUCUCUGGCCCGGUUCUGACGCUGAGGCGCGAAAGCGUGGGGAGCAAACAGG